rnacentral:rRNA from 1 species
AGAGUUUGAUCAUGGCUCAGAACGAACGCUGGCGGCGUGCUUAACACAUGCAAGUCUAACGAGAAAGUUCUCUUCGGAGAGUGAGUACAGUGGCGCACGGGUGAGUAAUACGUGGGUAACCUACCCUUCAGCCUGGGAUAACAUCUCGAAAGGGGUGCUAAUACCGGAUACGUUCAGAGAGACUUCGGUCUUUCUGGAGAAAGAUGGCCUCUACUUGUAAGCUGUCACUGAGGGAUGGGCCCACGGACCAUUAGCUUGUUGGUGGGGUAACGGCCUACCAAGGCAACGAUGGUUAGCUGGUCUGAGAGGAUGAUCAGCCACACUGGUACUGGAACACGGACCAGACUCCUACGGGAGGCAGCAGUGGGGAAUAUUGCGCAAUGGGGGAAACCCUGACGCAGCAACGCCGCGUGAGUGAUGAAGGCCUUCGGGUCGUAAAGCUCUGUCAGAGGGGAAGAAGGUGGUGAGGUUAAUACCCUCGCUCACUUGACGGUACCCUCAAAGGAAGCACCGGCUAACUCCGUGCCAGCAGCCGCGGUAAUACGGAGGGUGCAAGCGUUGUUCGGAAUCACUGGGCGUAAAGGGCGCGUAGGCGGUUGUCUAAGUCAGAUGUGA